UACAGAGGUCCCAAGCGUUGUUCGGAUUCAUUGGGCGUAAAGGGUGCGUAGGCGGCGCGGUAAGUCGGGUGUGAAAGCCCGGGGCUCAACCCCGGACGGCACCCGAGACGGUCAGGCUGGAGACCGGGAGAGGAGGGUGGAAUAGCCAGUGUAGAGGUGAAAUUCGUAGAUAUUGGCUGGAACACCGGUGGCGAAAGCGGCUCUCUGGCCCGGUUCUGACGCUGAGGCGCGAAAGCGUGGGGAGCAAACAGGG
rnacentral:rRNA from 1 species